rnacentral:snRNA from 1 species
GUACUUUCCUGGCAGGGAAGACACCAUGAUCAGGAAGGUGGUUUUCCCAGGGUGAGGCUUAUCCAUUGCACUUGAGAUGUGCUGACCCCUGCAAUUUCCCCAAAUGCGGGAAACUCGACUGCAUAAUUUGUGGUCC